rnacentral:lncRNA from 1 species
CCCGGGGGGGGGGACACACACACACGCACACGAGCGUGCAAGGGGAGGCGGGCAGCUGCACACGCGUGGGCGCGGGGGUUCACGCGGAGGCGGGAGGGGCAGCGUGCAGAGCGAGAGUGCGAGCAGCCGGCGUGGGGCGGGCGGUGAGCGUGCAAAGGGAGGAGCACAGUUUGUGAGUGUGCAAGGAGAGGAGGGCGGCAUGCAGCUACGUGCGUGUGCAAGGAGAGGUGGCAGUAGGUAGACGAGUGUGCAAGGGGAGGAGGGUGAAAGCGUGCAAGGGAGAUGCAGUGACGUUCAGUGGUGGCUGCCCCGCAGCACGGGCCCUGGGGCACGGAGCCCGGCUGACCUGGCCGGGGGGAGCGGGCAGCGGGGCACGCGGGUGCCGCUCGGGGCGCAGCGCGGCGUCUCCUGUUGCUCUGCCACAGCCGCGCGAUGGAGGUCAGCCACUCCGUCAAGGAGCGCACCAUCGCCGAGAACAGCCUGGUCAUCCUGCUGCAGGGCCUGCACGGCCAGGUCACCACUGUGGACCUCCGUGACGAGAGCACGGCCACCGGGCGCAUCACCAAUGUGGACGCYUUCAUGAACGUGCGCCUGGCCGAGGUGACCUUCACGGACAGGCAGGGCACAGUGUCCCACUUGGACGAGCUCUUCGUAACYGGCAGGAACGUCCGCUACGUCCACAUCCCCGACGAGGUGGACAUCAGGGCCACCAUCGAGCGGCAGCUGCAGGCGAUCCACAGGGUCCGCUACUUCGGAGGCCGUGACAAGGGGAGGAAGGAGUUCCCCCGAGCGAAGCACAAAUGAUCCCUUCUGGUGCUGCCGGAGCUCCAGGGCCAGCACGGACCCUGGUGCCAUGUGCGCGGGAAGGCAAGGACAGAUGUGCCCCCUCUUGACAGGACGCUGGGGCUUCCUGCCAGCUGCCUCCGCACCUUGCCCUGGGCAUCCCUCCCAGGGAGGCAGGGCUCUGCUUCUCCCUGGCCGGUGCCUGUGGGASAGCAUGAGGAUCCUCAGUGCAAGGUCUAUGUUAUCACCCAGGACACAGCGAAUGCUACCGCUGCCAGCUCCUCUGCUUCCUCACUCCUCCGUAACUCUUCCCCAAAGCUCCGCACCACUUCCCAGCCCCCUGAGAGUCUGCCUAAAAUACUGCCAAAGUCAACAGAUGACUUCAUCCUGUUUGUUACAGGCGUCUCUUUGUUACCGGUGCAGCCUGGCCUCCUCCGGGAUGGAGCUCGGUGGCUCUCGCCCCGUGUGUGCGCUGCUCUGCCUGGGCACGGCAUCCCUCCAGGCUCGCUGGGGCGACCGCGGGG